CGGACGGGUGAGUAACACUGGAUAACCUACCUAUAAGACUGGGAUAACUUCGGGAAACCGGAGCUAAUACCGGAUAAUAUAUUGAACCGCAUGGUUCAAUAGUGAAAGACGGUUUUGCUGUCACUUAUAGAUGGAUCCGCGCCGCAUUAGCUAGUUGGUAAGGUAACGGCUUACCAAGGCAACGAUGCGUAGCCGACCUGAGAGGGUGAUCGGCCACACUGGAACUGAGACACGGUCCAGACUCCUACGGGAGGCAGCAGCG
rnacentral:rRNA from 1 species